AUUUGUGGGUAAUUUUAUUGAGUAGCAUCUGGUACAGAAAGUGAAAAAUAUUCCGGAAAUUGAUUUUUUUAGUUGCUUUCAUUAAUCGUGAAAUAGGUUUUUUAUAUGUUUAAACGAGUAAUUUUUAAGAGGGAAAGGCUUUCAUUAAUUGUGAAAUUAUUAUUAGGUUUUUUGAUAUGUUAACCGAGUAAUUUUUAAGAUGUAAAGGCUGGUUAGGUUAAGUCAGUGACAUUUGAAUUCCUUUAAAAUUGUGCGAAAGGUUAGGUUAUCCUAGUAAACCUUCAAAAUACUUUAUAUUCGUGCCAGAGUCCAGGAGAGGCAGGAUGGCAAAACACGCAUUGUGGAAGGCGUGAUAGUUACAUCUCCAAGGGAACCAUACCUAGUCCAGACAGACCACAAGGGACCAUGCCCUUUGUGCAGUUUGGGACUGGAUCUUAAACAUACUUCAGUUCUUGCGCCGAGAUGGCUGUAUGUUACCCAGGCGAGUGACUGGACUGUGCAAAAAGCAACACAUACGAGUCACAAAAAUGGUGC